UAGGGAAUCUUCGGCAAUGGGGGCAACCCUGCCGAGCAACGCCGCGUGAGUGAAGAAGGUUUUCGGAUCGUAAAGCUCUGUUGUAAGAGAAGAACGUGUGUGAGAGUGGAAAGUUCACACAGUGACGGUAACUUACCAGAAAGGGACGGCUAACUACGUGCCAG
rnacentral:rRNA from 1 species